GAUAGAAUUUCCUCCCCUAAAAUUUGGUUUCCAUCUAUUUUUUCCCACACUUAACCUUUUUUUCUAAGUUAUCAAAUUUAACCCUAAAAAUGAUAACAACAACACACUAACUUUACACUUUUAACCCUAAAAUUCACUUUCAACCCUAAAAUUCACUUUCAAACCCUAAAAGGCGCCGUCAGCUUCAUCCAUAUUCGUCGCUCAGCUUCAUCUUCUCGAACCCAGCCAGCUUCAUCUUCUCGAACCAUCUUCAUCACUGCCCUUCAUCACACCCAGCCUUCAUCACCAUCAUCGCCUUCAUCGUCACCUUCAUCGUUCAUUACGGUGGUCUUCCUCGAGCUUGUCAUCGCCGUCGCCGUCACCGUCAGUGUUCGUUGUCUUCCUCGAUGCUGCUUUGAAAAGGUUUUGAGUGGCUUUUCCUUGAAAGGUUCAGAAAACCCUAACCUCCAUCACGCCGCCAUCUAUCUCACUGUCGCCACCCUUCGCGCUCAAGAUCGCAACCAGGUUCGUUGUUAGCCAGCUCGCCAGUCCUCUUGUUGUUUUGCUUGUCAUCCCUCUCGUCAUUCUGGUCGUCGUGCUACUCGCCUCUCUCUCUCUCUCUCUCACGGUUCUGCUCGCUUCUCUGUCACAGUUCUGCUCGCCGUGCUGCUCGAAGGCUUCUUCUUGUGAGGAUCAAAAUCCGCAAGGUGGUUAGUGUUGUUGUUAGUUGCAGCUUCAACUGGUUUGGCCUCAGUCAUUUUGACUAAUUAUUGCUUGCUAUAGAGAAGAAGGAACGAAGAAAGAAAUAUGGAUGAGAUGUGUGUGUGUGUUAAUGGUACAUGUGUAUGAUUAAUAAUUAAAGUGGCAUGUAAUGAUGCAGGUUUGUGAGGAUGCUCUAGCUUGCUUAUAUAGACAUCACCCCCUUGGACCAUGGACUUAUGGACUUACACACAUUACUCAUUUACUUUCUCUCUCUAUGUACAGCCUCACAAUCUUCUCUCUCUUUCGUCAACAUCAUUUUCACUCUGCCUAAGGGGUGUUUUGGGUUGGAGUUGCGGUGGAAUAAUAUCUUGUGCUUCGUCUAAGAGUGGAAUCAGAGAUUCUGUAGCUUUAUUUAUUCCUUUUUAUACUAUUUUAUACUAUUUCAAUAUUUUUUUAAUUUACCUUUCAUAAAUCACUUGUCACAGUAAAUUAUAUAUAUUGUAGGGACUUAUAGGUUUAAUUCUAUUUGAAUUAACUGCCAUCUUCAUUUUUGUUACAGCUUCUAAUGAUGUUUCAUUAACAAGUUCAGGUCAAUGCGACUCUCAUGGGGUUUCUAGCCGAGAUAAUUCAAGCGAAAGCAAAUUGAGGGAUCUCCUCGACAGCUCAGAAUACGUGCUUAGCUCGAAAAGGUUAAAUGGAUGGCUAUCGGGAUAAAAAGUUCAAACUAUUGUUUAGUUUGUUUUCUAAUUGGUGUUUAUUGUAUGAAAUAUUUACGUGAUUGAUCUUUACUUGGUUCUUCAAAUUGUUGCCGCAUUCAUUCCAAAAAUCAAGGUUGGUAGAUCUAUCAUUGUAGAUACCUUGUGAGAUUUUAGUGAAGCUGACAAAAUAGACACGGUACUCUUACUUCUACAAUGAUGAUAUAAUGUUGUGCUUAAAAUUUGAUUGAAUUAUCAUCAUUGAUCAUAUAUUGUUUUACUAGACAUCCGAAAAUGUUGAGGAGACUUUUUAGGAAACAAUUAAACAGCCACAGAGCAUGACUACUGAAAUAAAGGAAGAUGAUGCACCUUGCAGUGAAGUCAAAGAAGAAAACAACACAACUACUACUCAUGUGGUUCUUGCUGAUACGGAAAGAAGUGAAGAUGAUUGCAAAGGAGAGAGCUCAUGCUUAGGGAUUUCAUCAUCUGGAGAUGGGUCUGCUGAAGUAGGAAAAGAUGCUUGCACUCCCAAACCAACAUUGCAAAAAAGAUUGACAACCACGACCUCCAAGAAGCAAGAGACAGCUAAAAUGAUAGGCACCAGUAAAAAACCACAGUUAUAGUCAUCAUCCAUGAAAACCAACACUGCUGGGACUCCCCAUUUGGCCCAAGAGAAUCAAGCUAUUAAAAGGCAAAAAUUGGAAGGAGGAAAGAGUAAACAGAAAUCCUCCGCUUCACUCAAGAAGAAACGUUCCAAGCACUCCUCUAAGUCUAAGCCAUGAGUCAGCAAAUUGAUGAAGUUGUGUUUGGGAGUGCACUUUCCCUUUCAUCCGAAUUUGAAUUGCCAAAAGGUAGAGCAAUUCAGGUUGAGGACAAUAUGAUUGAAUGCAAACCAUCAAUGGAUGUAAAGCGCCCACGCAAUUAGGAUUCUGAUGUCAUUAUACAGAUGAGAUUAAUCAAAUACAGUCAAUUUAUUGCUAUGGGAGAAAUGAAAUCAGAGCAAGGUUUAAUGUUGCUAUGUAUGUGCUCAUGCAUACAAAGAAAGUGGGACUACUUUGGAAGCAGAGUUUACAGGAACUUUGCCAAAAGAACGCAUGUAGAAGUGUUAAGGCAUUAUUUGGAGAACAAAUUCUGGUCACUACGUUGUUUGGUUCACACUAUCACAAUGGGCUAAUGGCUUUGGUCAACUAGGUGAUAGAACCGAGGAGCGAAGGAAAUAUCUAAAGAAAAUGAAGCCAUUAGAGUCAAUUUGUAAAAUCUGUGUCUUGUAUAAUUCUUAAUUCUCUUCUUAGAAAUUCAUUUUUGUUAAUGUUUGUAAAUUUCAUGUAUGCAAGCGUUGCAUGUACAUAGAUGACAUUGUUGUAGGCUUUUACCCAGUAUUGAAUGUAGGAACAUAAAUUUGAGUGUUCACA